GGACUCGGCGCUCAGGACGAACGAACCAAGGAAAAAGGCCUAGCAAUCAUGGAAUUGAGGUACUGCUGGGGACCACGGAAACGAGUAGUGGCGAGGAUUUCACUAUUACAAUGUUCACCUAAGUUAAUGUUAAGUUGUAACAAGUUUAAGUAGAGAUUCUUGAUUAAGUUACGCACUUUUAUUAAGGAAUUAAAAAGGAUUAUUAUGUUAAUUUUGGA